ensembl:lncRNA
UUGCGGCUGAGGGCAGGCUGAGCGUGGGGGUUAAGGGCCCUUCCCUCCGGGGUAAUGGCACGUCCUGCAGGAAGUUGCACAAGGUCCAGUCUGGGUCCAAAGACACGGAGUUCAGAGACUGAAAACCGUGGGCUGCAUGUCAGUCUCUUAGGGGUGAAUUUAGGCCACUGUUCAAAAUGAAAUGUUUGGUCAGAGAGCCCACACUUGUGCAAACACUGAGACAAGGGCAGGGCCCACUGGGAAUUGGCCAAGGCCGGGAGGGGCUGAACUCGCAGCGCUUUGAAGACGUGCCCGCCUGCGGUCUGCAGACCAAACGCUGCUGGGGUCUGGGUCCAAGGCCCGGGGUCUCUGAGGACGCACCUCCUUCCCAGCCCAUCCCCGUGCCCUCCGGGAGUGCCCUCCCUCGAGCGUCAGUGCCCAGGGAAGAAUGGCUCCCCAGGCCUCCCCAGUCGGGUGACACCUUGGGGGGGCUGUCGGCACAGGUGACACAGGCAGCACAGGGGAAAAGGCUCUUCCGUCUUCCUGAAGUAGCUCUGGUGCCAACGGAGCCCAGCGGGCGCAUGUGACCUGGGACCGCAGGCGAGGCCGGGGGCCCCCAGGGAGGGAGGGUGUGUCCUGUGUGUCACCUGUGAGCGCAGGUCCGUUCCUUCCCUCUGUCUAACUCACUUCGUGAGGCCUCGCCUGGCCAGGGACGUCAGGCCGUGCACGUUGUGCCAGCUGGACGGCCGCACAGAAACCAGACCGAAACUGCCGUGAGCCACCUGCAGGCGCGCUCCUUCCCUGCCACACUGUCAGGAGCCCGCAGACGGCAAAGGACGUUUAAACGCCUUAACUCGUCACAUGAUGACACCGGGCCGACAGGCAGAGCUGGUUUGUGGCAGCCCGGGGAGUGUCUCCGUGUCCCAACACUGUCCCCAGGCUUCUGGCCGCCUCCUUCCUUGUCUUCUGAACAGGAUUGAAUUCCUUCUCCUCUGGCCAGGACGGCACGGGAGCUGUUGAGAGCGGGAGCAGGUGGAAGAAAGCCCUGACUUAGCCUCGGGCCCGGCACCUGGGACCCUGGCACAAACCCCACCAGGCGUCCAGCCCCUCCCGGGCGCCGCCCCACCUGGUCCCUGGGGAGAGUUUCCUGAAACGCGCCGCGCAGCUCCCGUCUUGACGGCCUCCCAGCCAAGCUGCCGGGUCACUUGGAGGUGGUCCAGCAUCUUUUCUCCUUUGAGCCAAAGGACACCCUGUUUAAGAAUAAACCUCCUUGUACAGAGGCA